CAGUCUGGAGACGCCAGCUGUUCACCACCACAACCACCAGAGGACACUGAUCAUGCAGAGAAGAGAGCACCACAGAGCUGAGUUUAAAGUCUUGUCAUCGAUGUGUCAGGUAUCAUCAAGUGUGGAGAAAACCCUUUUAUGGAAGCAGCAGUGAAAGAGAAGAAUACAGGAGGGAGCUGCGAGAACAGUUAAAGAGGCAGAUGGAGGAGAAAUGUGCGGCACUGAAACUGCAGCUGGUCGGUAAAGUGAAGGAAUCAG